GAGAGUAUAGCUCAGACGAUAGAGUGCAUGCUUAGCAUGCACGAGGUCCUGGGUUCAAUCCCCAGUACCACCU
rfam:Camelus ferus unplaced genomic scaffold scaffold725, whole genome shotgun sequence.